rnacentral:rRNA from 1 species
UACGUAGGGGGCUAGCGUUGUCCGGAAUCAUUGGGCGUAAAGAGCGUGUAGGCGGUCUGUCGCGUCUGCUGUGAAAAUCCGGGGCUCAACCCCGGACUUGCAGUGGGUACGGGCAGACUAGAGUGUGGUAGGGGAGACUGGAAUUCCUGGUGUAGCGGUGAAAUGCGUAGAUAUCAGGAGGAACACCCAUGGCGAAGGCAGCAAACUGGCCGGCAUCUGACGCUGAGGCGCGAAAGCGUGGGUAGCAAACAGG